GCAGCAAAGAUCUUUGCUAUUCUGCUAUUAGAACAAAAACUGUAGAAAUACAGAACUUGACACAUUUUUGGUAAAUUUGAAACUUUUUAAAAUUCUUUUUUUAUUAUCCCUCAUAUUGAAAAAUUUGUUACUAGUUAAAAAUGAAAGCAUGGAAAUUCGAGGUACAAUUCAAGAACAUGCCAAAAGUCGCCAAGAUGAGCUCACAGUAGUUUUUAAGACAAUUUUUAUGUGCCACUGAUAGUAUUGAUUGUUAACAGUAAUCUUUUGCAAAAUUCCCUCUAUAAUUUUAUAACACUGUGAGGCUUUGGCCACUUUUUAGGUUAAAGUCAUUUUUUCAGUUUACAGUUUUAUUGUCAACAUUUUAAUACAAUCAUAGUCAUUAUGCGAUUACACAUUUAAGGUUUAAAAUGAAUGAGCUCGUUGUCUUGCAGUAAUUAUUUCUUUGCUGUGUUGAAACACUGAGUACUGUAACAGAAGAAAUGUUGCUUUUGAAUUGGUUUUACGACUGAGACCUCAAGUAGAUAUGUAUUGAAAUGUUAUUUCUAUUGUAAAACAAGCAGUUAUCAAGAAAUUAAUGUGUCUGUAAUCUACAAUUCACAACAGUAGUGGAACUCGCCUUUGAAGAAUUAUUUGUCAUAUUUAGGAAAAAAUCUUAUGGCAACAGUCUUCUCUGAACAGCGGUCUUGUGAACACCGGCGUCAGUACAAUAAAGAACCCAGAUUUGACAGAACUACACACCCAACUGAGGCCUACCUGUUUUACUUCAUGAUCACCCCAGAUACUUCUACAACUAACUCGCUUGUGUUCAUCUUCAUGACACGAAUGAAGAUAUUUAACCCAAAUCUCUGACACCCAAGAAACCAUCACAUCAAUCUAUAUGAAUGGAGCCAAUUAAUCUACUUUUUGGGCCAAACUGUUCAAUGAAUGUCUGGACACUAGCAUCUGUUGGCUUGCUGACUAUCACUGAAGAUGAAGUACUUCUCCAAAUCUUCUCUGCCUUGACCCUGUGUCUUCUGCCAUCAUUGUUCAGGGUAGUACUGCAAAGAACCGUCUCCAGGGUCUACCUCCAACAUUUGCUUCCGGACCGCCAUGUGCUACGUUUGGAUUACUGGUACAUGUGGAUUACCCUGAUACUGUGAAGAACACUUACAAUAUGAUGCUUGACUUGGGACAGAAAAAAAAAAAACAUUGGCAACUUGUGUGGCCAACUCAUCAUGCUACCUCCACUGUUUAGCAUAACCAAAAGCAGACUGUUUUUGCUUUGUUUCAAAAUGUUUGUAAUACAAGUUAAAACUGCAUUGAAAAAUAUUAUCUUUAACUUUGAACUGUCACUACCUUUGAUGUAUGGGUAUUUAUGUGUGUGAAGAAUAGAACAUUGUUGUCAUGAAUUUGUAAUGGAUGUUUGAAGCAUUUAAGUUAAUGGAGUAACACUUGUUUUUUUAAGGCAAUCGGUUAAAACUAGAUUGCUGUUCAAAUAAAUACAACUUAGAAAUUCCA
ensembl:lncRNA